UACGGAGGGUCCAAGCGUUAUCCGGAAUCAUUGGGUUUAAAGGGUUCGCAGGCUGUCCAAUAAGUCAGUGGUGAAAUCUCUCGGCUCAACCGAGAAACUGCCAUUGAUACUGUUGGACUUGAAUAUAGUUGGAGUAGGCGGAAUGUGUAGUGUAGCGGUGAAAUGCUUAGAUAUUACACAGAACACCGAUAGCGAAGGCAGCUUACUAAACUAUUAUUGACGCUCAUGAACGAAAGCGUGGGGAGCGAACAGG
rnacentral:rRNA from 1 species